rnacentral:rRNA from 1 species
UGGGUUAGUGGCGGACGGGUGAGUAACGCGUGGGUAACCUGCCUUACACAGGGGGAUAACACUUAGAAAUAGGUGCUAAAACCGCAUAAGCGCACAGCUUCGCAUGAAGCGGUGUGAAAAACUCCGGUGGUGUAAGAUGGACCCGCGUCUGAUUAGCUUGUUGGCGGGGUAACGGCCCACCAAGGCGACGAUCAGUAGCCGGCCUGAGAGGGCGGACGGCCACAUUGGGACUGAGACACGGCCCAGACUCUUACGGGAGGCAGCAG